AUCUACAGGCUUAACACAUGCAAGUCGAGGGGCAGCAUGGUCUUAGCUUGCUAAGACUGAUGGCGACCGGCGCACGGGUGAGUAACACGUAUCCAACCUGCCGUCUACUCUUGGACAGCCUUCUGAAAGGAAGAUUAAUACAAGAUGGCAUCAUGAGUCCGCAUGUUCACAUGAUUAAAGGUAUUCCGGUAGACGAUGGGGAUGCGUUCCAUUAGAUAGUAGGCGGGGUAACGGCCCACCUAGUCUUCGAUGGAUAGGGGUUCUGAGAGGAAGGUCCCCCACAUUGGAACUGAGACACGGUCCAAACUCCUACGGGAGGCAGCAGUGAGGAAUAUUGGUCAAUGGGCGAGAGCCUGAACCAGCCAAGUAGCGUGAAGGAUGACUGCCCUAUGGGUUGUAAACUUCUUUUAUAAAGGAAUAAAGUCGGGUAUGCAUACCCGUUUGCAUGUACUUUAUGAAUAAGGAUCGGCUAACUCCGUGCCAGCAGCCGCGGUAAUACGGAGGAUCCGAGCGUUAUCCGGAUUUAUUGGGUUUAAAGGGAGCGUAGAUGGAUGUUUAAGUCAGUUGUGAAAGUUUGCGGCUCAACCGUAAAAUUGCAGUUGAUACUGGAUAUCUUGAGUGCAGUUGAGGCAGGCGGAAUUCGUGGUGUAGCGGUGAAAUGCUUAGAUAUCACGAAGAACUCCGAUUGCGAAGGCAGCCUGCUAAGCUGCAACUGACAUUGAGGCUCGAAAGUGUGGGUAUCAAACAGGAUUAGAUACCCUGGUAGUCCACACGGUAAACGAUGAAUACUCGCUGUUUGCGAUAUACGGCAAGCGGCCAAGCGAAAGCGUUAAGUAUUCCACCUGGGGAGUACGCCGGCAACGGUGAAACUCAAAGGAAUUGACGGGGGCCCGCACAAGCGGAGGAACAUGUGGUUUAAUUCGAUGAUACGCGAGGAACCUUACCCGGGCUUAAAUUGCAGAUGAAUUACGGUGAAAGCCGUAAGCCGCAAGGCAUCUGUGAAGGUGCUGCAUGGUUGUCGUCAGCUCGUGCCGUGAGGUGUCGGCUUAAGUGCCAUAACGAGCGCAACCCUUGUUGUCAGUUACUAACAGGUUCCGCUGAGGACUCUGACAAGACUGCCAUCGUAAGAUGUGAGGAAGGUGGGGAUGACGUCAAAUCAGCACGGCCCUUACGUCCGGGGCUACACACGUGUUACAAUGGGGGGUACAGAGGGCCGCUACCACGCGAGUGGAUGCCAAUCCCAAAAACCUCUCUCAGUUCGGACUGGAGUCUGCAACCCGACUCCACGAAGCUGGAUUCGCUAGUAAUCGCGCAUCAGCCACGGCGCGGUGAAUACGUUCCCGGGCCUUGUACACACCGCCCGUCAAGCCAUGGGAGCCGGGGGUACCUGAAGUGCGUAACCGCGAGGAGCGCCCUAGGGUAAAACUGGUGACUGGGG
rnacentral:rRNA from 1 species